AUUGAACGCUGGCGGCAGGCCUAACACAUGCAAGUCGAGCGGAUGAAGGGAGCUUGCUCCUGGAUUCAGCGGCGGACGGGUGAGUAAUGCCUAGGAAUCUGCCUGGUAGUGGGGGAUAACGUCCGGAAACGGGCGCUAAUACCGCAUACGUCCUGAGGGAGAAAGUGGGGGAUCUUCGGACCUCACGCUAUCAGAUGAGCCUAGGUCGGAUUAGCUAGUUGGUGGGGUAAAGGCCUACCAAGGCGACGAUCCGUAACUGGUCUGAGAGGAUGAUCAGUCACAAUGGAACUGAGACACGGUCCAGACUCCUACGGGAGGCAGCAGUGGGGAAUAUUGGACAAUGGGCGAAAGCCUGAUCCAGCCAUGCCGCGUGUGUGAAGAAGGUCUUCGGAUUGUAAAGCACUAAGUUGGGAGGAAGGGCAGUAAGUUAAUACCUUGCUGUUUUGACGUUACCAACAGAAUAAGCACCGGCUAACUUCGUG
rnacentral:rRNA from 1 species